AUUCUGUCCUCCUCGUCCUGCGACUCCAGAGCGCCCAUCCACUCCUCAAAGAGGUCACUUGAAAGUAGCUUCCGGGGGAUACUUCUGAGGAAGUCCUGGGGGAUGAGAGCGGGCUAUUGGCCUAUUGACUUUUCAGAAGCUACAAAUCUUCAGCAUUCUUCACUCUGUGAAGUCAGAGAAAUGGAGGGACCAUAGCUCUGAGCUCAUUGGUAAAUACAACUAAUUUCAAUUUCUGGAAUGGAAGCAGUCAGAUAUUCUUCUAACUGCAUGCGUAUGUGGGAGUGCCAUGUCGAAGAGUGGAAAAUAUGGAAGAUCAGUCCCUACAAACUUCACAGGAGAAUGACAUUCAGAAUUCCCGAGUAUUUUGCAUGUCCAGCUGAAAACCGAAGUAGGUUUAUGAGAAAAUGCAUGCCUACCUGGAUGGGUCUGGGGAGUGUGUCGCUGCCACCACAGAUAAUUGACAAGGGCUGAUCAAAUAGUGAUGCUUUCAAGUCUGUCUCCAAAGCCCCAGAAAAAUCUGAUGCAGGGGAGAGCCUUCUCAUGAGAAAGGGCCAGGACAGCACCUUCUUUCUCUUCUUAACUUCUACAGCCAAGAAAACAAGGCAACGAGAAAAAUUAGACUGCAGUGUUAAUAAGCAAAGAUCCAGGUAAGAAAAUGGGUAUUGUUGGCCACAUAAUGUGGUCGAUAGUAUAUGCCAUGUGAGAAAAAUAAUUUUGAAAACUUAAGAAAGCAAAGGGCGUGAAUCUUAAUCUAGAAAAACCAACCGAUAAACAACCACACUGUUACCAGGGCAACCAGUUCCCUAAACAGCAACACCAGGGUUCCUCUAAGCCUCCACCUUUCCUGUUUUCACUCUUUCCAGCUGUUUGCUACAGAAAAUUAGCAAAACCUAACUGUGUAGAUCAUAAACAACCAUCUUAACUUACUGGCCUGAAUAACUAUAGAGGAAAUUUCUGAUAUGAAACAGAUUAUUUUGAUUUCCUCCUUUAAUUGGCGAAGAAAACGAAACUUAAAAGGUGACUGGUCACCUGGGUUUUCCAGGUCGCUGCUUUAGGACAGAGGCAAAUACGAAUUGCUGCAGGAAGGCUUGAACCUACAUCUGGCAACUGGAAAUUAUCAGCAAAACAUUAUCAAGAUAUUCUGUCCUUCCGAAAUCCACAAGAUGUGUGUGCAAUGGAUAUUGCAAUCUCAAGUUUCCUUAUUUCUUUUCUUUUCCUUCCUUCCUUCUCCUUUUUUUUUUAACUAAUUAUAAAGGCUAUAUUUUCUAAAUGUAUUGGCAUAUGUUUCUGUACAUUUUAGAUUGGCAAGUGGAAGCGUGAUGAGAAAGAAGUGGCCUGUCUUUAUGGUUCAGGAGAACUGGGUCAGGGUUACGCUGUAAUGAAAUGCAUUAUGAAAAAUAAUUGAGAGCGAAUGGUGGAUCCUUUGGGAUUUGAGAUCAGCAACAGUUGCUUCAUAGGCUCUUGGAUGCAUUCUCCAUAACAGAAGGAAGAAAAUGGAAAAGACACUGUAUGUUUUCAAAUGUGUGCAUGCUAAUUGUCGAAACAUACAUGGCCAGGAGAUGGAACCGCAUUAAAAACCCUUGGCAGAACUGGGGGAUUCUGUAUGGAGAGGCUCUUUCCGCUCCCAGCACUCCCGGCUCUAGUGAGUUGGAGCAUACCUGCCGUUUAAGGGUUAAUGUUCUGCGGUCUUUAAGAGAACACUUAUACAAAAAAAUUCCUAGUAGAGUAAAAUCGCUGUGGUUUUGCAAACCAAGAACACUGGUUGUUAGCACUUACAUAAAAGAUCAGUAUGUUUUCAAAACUCACCAAUGAGCUGGCAAAUACUGUCUUCACUCUCACAUGAUGCCAACAGGGGAUGCUCCUUGAUAUCACCCUAAAAACAUUUUUAUUUCAGUUAAAUAUAGUGACUGAAGAAACCUAUCGAGUCUUUCCCCACAAAACACACAUACAACAUUUUAUUCAUA